CCGGGACGGGACCGGGACGGG
rnacentral:miRNA from 1 species